rnacentral:rRNA from 1 species
GAUGAACGCUGACAGAAUGCUUAACACAUGCAAGUCUUUCGCAAAGCUGUGCUUGCUCAGCCUAUCAAAGGCGGACGGGUGAGUAACGCGUAAGGAACUUGCCCUGCAUUCAGGGAUAACAGACGGUAACGACUGCUAAGACCUGGUAAAGUCAGGUGGACUCAUGUACAGUCCGAUGAUAAGUGAUGCUGUUGGAGAGCCUUGCGUCCUAUUAGCUUGUUGGUGGGGUAAUGGCCCACCAAGGGGAUGAUAGGUAGCCGGCGUGAGAGGGUGGACGGCCACAAGGGGACUGAGAUACGGCCGUUACUCCUACGGGAGGCAGCAGUGGGGAAUAUUGGACAAUGGGGGCAACACUGAUCCAGCAAUUCUGUGUGCACGAUGAAGGUUUUCGGAUUGUAAAGUGCUUUCAGCAGGGAAGAAAAAAAUGACGGUACCUGCAGAAGAAGCGACGGCUAAAUACGUG